rnacentral:rRNA from 1 species
UUAAGCGACUAAGCGUACACGGUGGAUGCCCUGGCAGUCAGAGGCGAUGAAGGACGUGCUAAUCUGCGAUAAGCGUCGGUAAGGUGAUAUGAACCGUUAUAACCGGCGAUUUCCGAAUGGGGAAACCCAGUGUGUUUCGACACACUAUCAUUAACUGAAUCCAUAGGUUAAUGAGGCGAACCGGGGGAACUGAAACAUCUAAGUACCCCGAGGAAAAGAAAUCAACCGAGAUUCCCCCAGUAGCGGCGAGCGAACGGGGAGCAGCCCAGAGCCUGAAUCAGUGUGUGUGUUAGUGGAAGCGUCUGGAAAGGCGCGCGAUACAGGGUGACAGCCCCGUACACAAAAAUGCACAUGCUGUGAGCUCGAUGAGUAGGGCGGGACACGUGGUAUCCUGUCUGAAUAUGGGGGGACCAUCCUCCAAGGCUAAAUACUCCUGACUGACCGAUAGUGAACCAGUACCGUGAGGGAAAGGCGAAAAGAACCCCGGCGAGGGGAGUGAAAAAGAACCUGAAACCGUGUACGUACAAGCAGUGGGAGCACGCUUAGGCGUGUGACUGCGUACCUUUUGUAUAAUGGGUCAGCGACUUAUAUUCUGUAGCAAGGUUAACCGAAUAGGGGAGCCGAAGGAAACCGAGUCUUAACUGGGCGUUAAGUUGCAGGGUAUAGACCCGAAACCCGGUGAUUCAGCCAUGGGCAGGUUGAAGGUUGGGUAACACUAACUGGAGGACCGAACCGACUAAUGUUGAAAAAUUAGCGGAUGACUUGUGGCUGGGGGUGAAAGGCCAAUCAAACCGGGAGAUAGCUGGUUCUCCCGAAAGCUAUUUAGGUAGCGCCUCGUGAAUUCAUCUCCGGGGGUAGAGCACUGUUUCGGCAAGGGGGUCAUCCCGACUUACCAACCCGAUGCAAACUGCGAAUACCGGAGAAUGUUAUCACGGGAGACACACGGCGGGUGCUAACGUCCGUCGUGAAGAGGGAAACAACCCAGACCGCCAGCUAAGGUCCCAAAGUCAUGGUUAAGUGGGAAACGAUGUGGGAAGGCCCAGACAGCCAGGAUGUUGGCUUAGAAGCAGCCAUCAUUUAAAGAAAGCGUAAUAGCUCACUGGUCGAGUCGGCCUGCGCGGAAGAUGUAACGGGGCUAAACCAUGCACCGAAGCUGCGGCAGCGACGCUUAUGCGUUGUUGGGUAGGGGAGCGUUCUGUAAGCCUGUGAAGGUGUGCUGUGAGGCAUGCUGGAGGUAUCAGAAGUGCGAAUGCUGACAUAAGUAACGAUAAAGCGGGUGAAAAGCCCGCUCGCCGGAAGACCAAGGGUUCCUGUCCAACGUUAAUCGGGGCAGGGUGAGUCGACCCCUAAGGCGAGGCCGAAAGGCGUAGUCGAUGGGAAACAGGUUAAUAUUCCUGUACUUGGUGUUACUGCGAAGGGGGACGGAGAAGGCUAUGUUGGCCGGGCGACGGUUGUCCCGGUUUAAGCGUGUAGGCUGGUUUUCCGUGCAAAUCCGGAAAAUCAAGGCUGAGGCGUGAUGACGAGGCACUACGGUGCUGAAGCAACAAAUGCCCUGCUUCCGUGAAAGCCUCUAAGCAUCAGGUAACAUCAAAUCGUACCCCAAACCGACACAGGUGGUCAGGUAGAGAAUACCAAGGCGCUUGAGAGAACUCGGGUGAAGGAACUAGGCAAAAUGGUGCCGUAACUUCGGGAGAAGGCACGCUGAUAUGUAGGUGAAGUCCCUCGCGGAUGGAGCUGAAAUCAGUCGAAGAUACCAGCUGGCUGCAACUGUUUAUUAAAAACACAGCACUGUGCAAACACGAAAGUGGACGUAUACGGUGUGACGCCUGCCCGGUGCCGGAAGGUUAAUUGAUGGGGUUAGCCGCAAGGCGAAGCUCUUGAUCGAAGCCCCGGUAAACGGCGGCCGUAACUAUAACGGUCCUAAGGUAGCGAAAUUCCUUGUCGGGUAAGUUCCGACCUGCACGAAUGGCGUAAUGAUGGCCAGGCUGUCUCCACCCGAGACUCAGUGAAAUUGAACUCGCUGUGAAGAUGCAGUGUACCCGCGGCAAGACGGAAAGACCCCGUGAACCUUUACUAUAGCUUGACACUGAACAUUGAGCCUUGAUGUGUAGGAUAGGUGGGAGGCUUAGAAGUGUGGACGCCAGUCUGCAUGGAGCCGACCUUGAAAUACCACCCUUUAAUGUUUGAUGUUCUAACGUUGACCCGUAAUCCGGGUUGCGGACAGUGUCUGGUGGGUAGUUUGACUGGGGCGGUCUCCUCCUAAAGAGUAACGGAGGAGCACGAAGGUUGGCUAAUCCUGGUCGGACAUCAGGAGGUUAGUGCAAUGGCAUAAGCCAGCUUGACUGCGAGCGUGACGGCGCGAGCAGGUGCGAAAGCAGGUCAUAGUGAUCCGGUGGUUCUGAAUGGAAGGGCCAUCGCUCAACGGAUAAAAGGUACUCCGGGGAUAACAGGCUGAUACCGCCCAAGAGUUCAUAUCGACGGCGGUGUUUGGCACCUCGAUGUCGGCUCAUCACAUCCUGGGGCUGAAGUAGGUCCCAAGGGUAUGGCUGUUCGCCAUUUAAAGUGGUACGCGAGCUGGGUUUAGAACGUCGUGAGACAGUUCGGUCCCUAUCUGCCGUGGGCGCUGGAGAACUGAGGGGGGCUGCUCCUAGUACGAGAGGACCGGAGUGGACGCAUCACUGGUGUUCGGGUUGUCAUGCCAAUGGCACUGCCCGGUAGCUAAAUGCGGAAGAGAUAAGUGCUGAAAGCAUCUAAGCACGAAACUUGCCCCGAGAUGAGUUCUCCCUGACUCCUUGAGAGUCCUGAAGGAACGUUGAAGACGACGACGUUGAUAGGCCGGGUGUGUAAGCGCAGCGAUGCGUUGAGCUAACCGGUACUAAUGAACCGUGAGGCUUAACCU